UGUUCAUCUUUGCAGUGUCUCUCAGACCUACCAAUAAAUAUUCUCUUCCUGAUGAUGCAGCUCUCAUUCUGAAGAGAAUCCAAGACUGCUCUUGUAAAAGGAAAUCAAUAAGUCUGCUUCAGCUGAUGUCCUGCGUUUUCCUUGGAGAUCUUCCAUCCAUGUACUGGCAGGCCUGUCAAAGGUCAGUAGGAAUCUGCUUGCAGCUGAUUGAUCAAGGUGCAGAAAUGAGUGGGUCAGGAGUCCAGGAAUUCUGUGUCACUACUAUAGUGCAAAACUUCAGUAAAUCAUAGUGUGCAACAAUGGCCUGCCUUGUUUUUAUACCAACUGAUUACACACAGCUAGCACAAUGCACUGUAAUCUAGUACAGUUUCACACGAGGAGGCUGUAGGUCUGCCAGUAAACCUUGUACACAUGACACUGCCCUCACACAGUCAAAUCCUAUCUCACAUGGCAUCAUUGAAAACAAACAUAUACAUGCCCAAAAUCUAAUAUGAGCAGCAGAAUGUGUAUUUCAUUUGUAUAUUAAAAAGAACUUAUGACUUUCAGCCUGCUGCCUUACACUGAGUGUUACCCAGAUAUUUGCUUUCCUUCAGGAGGAUUAUAGUGUGAGGCCUUUUACCAAGGAUCGCUGAAAAUGGCAUUGUGGUGGAUUAUAUAUUGCUUAAGCAUAUGUUCACGUGUAGUCUUUCUGCAACUCUGUCACAUUCUCAGUAUGUUAAAAAACAAAAGUUAUUUUGCUGUGUGUUUGUGGUAAGGAUUAUCUUCCCUGGUGACUGAGCACAAAAGGUCUCCAAUUCCUAAUUACCACUUUUUUCCUCAUAAUAGUUCCUAAUGGUGUUUCAAAGAUCUAGGGCUUUAUUUUAAAGGAUUUCUCACCUGUGUGAAGCCUUGUCUACACUAGAUUUUUCCCUCAACCAUUCCCCAACAUUGUUGGCAUAAAAGCAGUGUUAGAAACCACCGCACAUUGUAGGCCAAACAUGGUAGGGGGCUAAGUCGCCAACACUGCUUUCAGCACUGAUUCUACUGGGAAAAAAACCUACUUCAUAUGGUGAAGGAAAAAAAUGUCAAUAAUCAAACUUUUAUUCAUGGAAAACCAGAGCUCCCAACAGAGUUCACACCAUUUUAGCUGAACCCCUGUGACAGUAGCUUCAUAUUAUCUUGUUCUCAGAGGAACUCAGAGACUAGCACUAUGACUGAGGACAGACCAAGCAUGGGUGCAAGAAAUGGGAAAUUCUUCCUCCAGAUAUUGUACAGCAACAAGGCCAAGCCUGAUCUUGGUCUUGGUUUUUGAGAUUUUUCAGAUGGAAAUUAACUUCUGAGAAACGAAUGGCUCUAAUUUGUGGAGAUUUUUAACAAUCUCAGGAUGAAAAGAAUUCCAAUUCCAUAGCAACUGUAGGGGAAUCAAUCUUACCUCAGAAAUGAGUUUAUUAAAAUGCUAUGAUGCUUUUAUUAUUUACAUUAAACCUAAAGCCAGGUUUUACCUGGAGGUGCACAGUAGUGACAAGGCAUUUGCAGCGUUGUCUGCACAUGCAUAAUUUAAAGUUUAGCAGCAGACGGGAAUAUUACUUAAGCAAUAGAACAGCAAAUGUAAGGUUAAUGAUUCUUCAAAUAGAUAGUCCAAUAAAGUAAUGUACAGGUGUAGCCCAAGGGACCAUAUAAACGUCAGCCAACUAGCUGUUUUUGUAUGUGGGAGAAACUGCUAUUCUUUCUUAACCUAAACCUCAUCAACUGUGUCACAAGUGAGUACAACAUGAUAGACAGUGGUGACACGAACAGAUGAACCCCAAGGUGACUGACUACCCUGUGUAUGAUAAUGCAAAGCCGAGUUCCUUUAGAGAUGAAUUACAGUAGUGGUCAGAUGCCCAAGGUCUACUUUCUCCCUUAAGAAGUAGCCUCCUCAACUAUCUUCACACAUGAAUUCCAUGCAUAUUUGCCUUCAGAAAGAAUCUCAGACUCAGGGGAAUCAAAUCCUUCAUAGCCUAGUGAAGCUUAACACCUUUGGAGCCCAGCCUUUCAAAUGACUUUUGAUUACUAUUAAAUAGUGCCUAGUCUCUUACCUAUUACUUAUGAGCAAAGGUCUAGGGCAACAUUAAACUGUCAAAAGAAACGUAAAAAUGUUACACAGAUGAUUUGUCAUAAAAUGUUUAGAUUAAUUUAAAUUUGACAUAGUCCUGUGUUUUGUUAUGGCCCUGUCUGGCUUUGUCCAUGCGGUUUAAGAAAGAGAAGGUGGAGACAACUUCAAAACUCCUUCAUUUAGGUGAGGCAGGAAACAUUUUUAUGUAGGCCUAGGGCAAAAGAUUGGUUAAUCUAUCACUUCCAUUAGGAGCUGGAUAAACAAAUGAGCUACGUUUUUAUGCUGGUAAUAGUUUGUUGCUCAAAAUUAGAAACCAAGUCUUGCUUUCAUUGGCACCCUCGUACAUUUGGAAUAACUGCAGGAAUGCAACAACCUUACACCAGGCGUAAAUCCAAAAUAUAAGGAUUUGGCUCAUGUCUAUGCAUCCAGGCAGAUUCUGAACAUGGUUUAAAUUUUAAAUCCUUCAUUUUCCAUGUCCCAUUUUAGUUUAUAUUCUCCAUCUGGAAUGUUUUAUUUGAUGUGGUGUGGUGGUUCACCACUUUCCACUUCAUCUCUAAAUUAUGUUAGUGACCUCUCCUGACAAAAGUUCAUAGAACAGGGAACUGGUGAGUAUACUUGCUAAUAUAAACUGAAUGCAAUCUAAUAACUCUGAGGGCAUCAAUAGUGGCUCCAGAGUUAAAGCUAUUUAGAGAUUUACAGUUAAAACAGGACUGAAAUCCUCCCGUUUCAAAUGUUUCUGAUUGAAUUUGAUCUACUGAUUUGAUAGAAUAGCUCUUGCAUACGACAAAUGAAUUUUCUGUAUACAUUGUUGCCACAUAUAUUAUAUUUCAUAAGGAAAGCAUUUUAAAAUGUUGGACGAAGGUAGGGUCCAUCCAAGGUUUGGUUAUAGGCUCUGAGGCAGGAUGAAGGGGCCGCGGGACUGUGCAGCUGGUAGGAAUGUUCUGAAAUGUUCUCUUUCUGAAGUAUUGUUCCCUUUCCACACAUUUUUUGUCAAAUGACUAUCAACUUCAUGUUUCAUGGACACAGAUUCUGAGAGCAUCUCAUGGCAUGGGCUGCUUUUUAACAUUCAAAAUUAAACCUCUUAAAAGGCAUUUCCCUUGCUCAGCAUCACUGGUUUGAGUGAUGUCAAGACGAGCCAACAGAACUGCUCAGUGCCCAUAUCCUCUCAGCCUCCAUUGCUCACAUACCUGGUCACAGAAGGUCUGGAGGUGGCAGGUGGCAGAUGACAGGAUCUUCUGAAGCAAGGUGGGUGAUGUGGGGACAGCAAAACUGCAGGGUGAAUAAGGUAUGUGUGCAUGGUGUCCUGAAGGAAGAGUGGUCCAGGGUUUGAUGUGCAUGAGUGCUUGAGGCCUGAUAAAAGUGCUUAUACUCCAUUGGGCUGCAUCUGUUGUGGAAGCAAGUAGAGUUGGGGAAGAGGGCAUGGGGCUGGCAGUGGUGAGGAUUUGUGGCAAAGGGGAGCCCACUGCUUUUGUUAUCAAAUUGACAGCAGCUGAACAACUCCCUUUGCAAAUGCUGUUGUAUGCGUGCUCCUUCACUACCUUAGUUUCUCUCUGCUCCAGACUUCAUUGCCAAGACAGCUGAGCCUCUAAGCUGAGGCACUGAUGGAUCUAGGGCUCUCCAUAGCCUUCAGAGCAUCAGAACUGAAUUAGGGCAUCAGGCUCACUUGCUGUCAUGAUUCCUCAGUUCAGAGGCCCCGGCUCUCCCCAACACCAUCUGACAGCCACUGUCUCCAAUUAUAUUUCUGCCCCAUUCCCACAGCCCCACUCAGCCCUUAUUGUGCCCAUUUCUUUUUUCCCAAGUGCACCACACAGUAGUAUUGUGGAUAGCUGCAGGGGCAAGUGGGAUGCAAAAGGGCAGGAGGAGAAAUGUUGUGAGAGUAAAAAUGGGGAAAAGAGAGCUUUUAGCUGUAAGGGCUGAAGUGGAAGAACCAGAGGGGAGAAGGGGCUACCUAAAAUAUGUCACAAGGGUAGCUUCUCUCUGCAGGCCCAUCCAGCUCAAGAACCAUUUCUCACAUCUUUCCCCACAGCCCUGCAAAGCCCUCAGCCCUUCAUACUUUUCUGUGUGCCUGCUAGAGCCUUCCUCACUGCUCCCUGUGUGUUUCCACUCCACUGUCCUGUAUCUUCAUUCUUCACCAUUCUUCCAUACUCCCCCACACCAUUCAUCACUUGUCCAUAUGUAUGUAUGUGCAUAGGUAUCAGUAGUGAUACAUGGCCAUAAAUCAGGAUUUAGUAGUGAUGUGUGGUAGAGAAACAAGGGGCAUGGUAAGGUCUGAAGGUGGGGGUGAAGGAGGAUUCAAGGCUGCAGGAAGGAAAGAAUAUGGGAAGGAGCAAACAAAGGGAAGAGCUCUUAGGGGGACAAGUAGGAAAAGUAGUGAUGUGUGCAGGGUGUGAGGGCUAGUAGGGCUCUAUGGAAGAAACUUAGAGAUGAGACCACAUGAGCGAUCCAUCUCACCUACCAAUACUUACAUAUAAAGUCCACCAAACAAAAAAUGUUAAAAACAGCUGCAGUUGUUCCAGUGCUUACAUCACCAAUGUAAGCACCAAAAAGCCAUGACAUCCCUAGUUAAGUCCUCCCCCUUUUCUUGCAGCCUUUAACUGUAAUUUCACCUUGAACACAGCCACCACAUCAACAUUCAUGACCCACCUGCCUCCACCCUCCACCGCCAUGCAAACAUGCAACCAUAAUUCUACACACAGGAAAACAUCACCUCUGGAGAAAACAAAGGAAGCAUCAGAGUUCCUCAGUGGAUCACCCAAAUGUCACUGCUACACACUUUACAGGCAAUAAUUUCUCAAAACAAUAAACUCCAUUGCACACUAUUUCCAUUUGCAAAGUAAAUUAUUUAAUCCACACCACUCACAGUCCUCCUAAACAGCACACUUUUAACUCUCAGCUAAAACCUUUAAACCAUGCACUCAGUCUACUUCAAAUAAUGCCAUUCACCAUUCCAAAAAAGAACAUCCUAUUGUAACCACUGCACAUGGUUAGAGUUUAUGGUAACACAUUUUGUGUGGAGACAGGACAUGUGGGUUGUGGGUAGGGGAUGUGGGUGAGAUGAUGUGGAGAAGGUGAAACCAUGUUUACAGAGUGCAACUUGGGUCAGGACUAAAUAACAAAUCUUUUGAUUCUUUUUUUGCACAUUUGUGUUGGUGCUUUGUGUACUGGAGGAGCAAUGAGUUUGGUUGGAAUAAAUAUUGGGAAAAGGCAAAGGUAAAGUUAAAUAGUGAAUGUGGAAAUCAUAGCACAACCAAAAUAAUUAUUUUUUUUUAAAUCUCCUUUGUAUAUUGUUGUAUUUGUGCUCUGGGUUGGGAUAUUGACUUUGCUAAGAGCUAGCUUCCCACGUAGAUUCUCAUUUUGUGUGGAAGCAUAAUGGUGUAUUUAUGCCACCAUACUCAGUUGUCUGGGAUAUGCAUGUGAUAUAACAUGCAGCAGUAUGCCACUGUAGGAUCAAGUAGGAAGAGCAGAUGGCUUAGGAGAGUAAAAUCAUUGUUUAGACAACAAAUAUCACCCAUGCUUAGCAAAUGUAGCAAAGGAAAUUGUAUUAAAAUGUGUGCACUUACUAUAUAAGAAUAUGAAGAAAUAUUUAAAACAGCCCCUUCUCACAAUUUUCAUCAUUUGCCAUCCACAAACACGAGUGUAUAUAACCCGCCGACCACGUUCAAGUUUCUGUUAGU